rnacentral:rRNA from 1 species
CCUACGGUAGACAGCAGUGAGGAAUAUUGGUCAAUGGACGAGAGUCUGAACCAGCCAAGUAGCGUGAAGGAUGACUGCCCUAUGGGUUGUAAACUUCUUUUAUAUGGGAAUAAAACAGGGUAUGCAUACCCUCUUGUAUGUACCAUAUGAAUAAGGAUCGGCUAACUCCGUGCCAGCAGCCGCGGUAAUACGGAGGAUGCGAGCGUUAUCCGGAUUUAUUGGGUUUAAAGGGUGCGUAGGCGGACGCUUAAGUCAGCGGUAAAAUUGCGGGGCUCAACCUCGUCGAGCCGUUGAAACUGGGUGCCUUGAGUGGGCGAGAAGUACGCGGAAUGCGUGGUGUAGCGGUGAAAUGCAUAGAUAUCACGCAGAACUCCGAUUGCGAAGGCAGCGUACCGGCGCCCAACUGACGCUGAAGCACGAAGGCGUGGGUAUCGAACAGGAUUAGAUACCCGGGUAGUC